rnacentral:rRNA from 1 species
UUCGUAGGCGGUUUGUUAAGUCUGAUGUUAAAGACCGGGGCUCAACCUCGGAAAUGCAUUGGAUACUGGCAGACUGGAGUGCAGUAGAGGCUAGUGGAAUUCCCAGUGUAGCGGUGAAAUGCGUAGAUAUUGGGAAGAACACCGGUGGCGUAGGCGACUAGCUGGGCUGUAACUGACGCUGAGGAACGAAAGCCAGGGGAGCAAAUG